AAAAUCUUAAAGCCAUUUAUUGAGAGAAUUUAGGUUUUUUUAAUGUAACAGAACAAAAAUAAAAAUUAAAUGGGAACAUAUGUUUGUGAAACAGCAGGUACUUGCUAUCGAUGGACGAAGCUAAUGACGAUUUUCAGAAGAAGUUGGAGCGUGGCGACUGCAAUGGGAAGGACAACCGGGCAUCCGUGUUCAACUCAAAGCUGUACCACUUCGAGUGCACCUUCUG